rnacentral:rRNA from 1 species
GGAAACCGGAACGAGCCUUCGGGCAGCGUAGACAGGUGCUGCAUGGCUGUCGUCGGCUCGUGUCGUGAGAUGUUGGGUUAAGUCCCGCAACGAGCGCAACCCGUGUUGCUAGUUACAAGUGUCUAGCGAGACUGCCGGUAACAAGCCGGAGGAAGGUGCGGAUGAUGUCAAGUCAGCAUGGCCUAUACGUCCAGGGCUACACACACGCUACAAUGGCUGGUACAAAGAGAAGCGAAAGGGAGACCUGAAGCGAAUCUCAUCAAAGCCAGUCAUAGUUCGGAUUGCAGGCUGCAACUCGCCUGCAUGAAGUCGGAGUUGCUAGUAACCGCAGGUCAGCAAUACUGCGGUGAAUACGUUCCCGGGCCUUGUACACAC